UAAUACGUAGGGUGCGAGCGUUGUCCGGAAUUAUUGGGCGUAAAGGGCUCGUAGGCGGUUUGUCGCGUCGGGAGUGAAAACCAUGAGCUUAACUCAUGGCUUGCUUUCGAUACGGGCAGACUGGAGGUAUGCAGGGGAGAACGGAAUUCCUGGUGUAGCGGUGAAAUGCGCAGAUAUCAGGAGGAACACCGGUGGCGAAGGCGGUUCUCUGGGCAUUACCUGACGCUGAGGAGCGAAAGUGUGGGGAGCGAACAGGAUUAGAUACCCUGGUAGUCCACACCGUAAACGUUGGGCGCUAGGUGUGGGGCCUAUUCCAUGGGUUCCGUGCCGCAGCUAACGCAUUAAGUGCCCCGCCUGGGGAGUACGGCCGCAAGGCUA
rnacentral:rRNA from 1 species